UACGGAGGGUGCGAGCGUUGUCCGGAAUCACUGGGCGUAAAGGGUGCGUAGGCGGGUCUUUAAGUCAGGGGUGAAAUCCUGGAGCUCAACUCCAGAACUGCCUUUGAUACUGAGGAUCUUGAGUUCGGGAGAGGUGAGUGGAACUGCGAGUGUAGAGGUGAAAUUCGUAGAUAUUCGGAAGAACACCAGUGGCGAAGGCGGCUCACUGGCCCGAUACUGACGCUGAGGCACGAAAGCGUGGGGAGCAAACAGG
rnacentral:rRNA from 1 species